rnacentral:rRNA from 1 species
UACGUAGGGUGCAAGCGUUAAUCGGAAUUACUGGGCGUAAAGGGCGCGUAGGCGGAUGGCACAGUCAGAUGUGAAAUUCCCGGGCUUAACCUGGGGGCUGCAUUUGAUACGUGUGAUCUAGAGUGAGGAAGAGGGUCGUGGAAUUCCCAGUGUAGAGGUGAAAUUCGUAGAUAUUGGGAAGAACACCGGUGGCGAAGGCGGCGACCUGGUCCUUGACUGACGCUGAGGCGCGAAAGCGUGGGGAGCAAACAGG